UGAGCCACCGCGCCUGGCAAGGAGCUGCCUGCCUUGGCCUCCCAAAGUGCUAAGAUUACAGCCUCUGCCCGGCCGCCACCCCGUCUGGGAGGUGAGGAGCAUCUCUGCCCGGCCGCCCAUCGUCUGGGAGGUGAGGAGCGCCUCUGCCCGGCCGCCCGGUCUGGGAAGUGGGCGCCUCUGCCCAGCUGCCCCGUCUGGGAGGUGGGGGGCGCCUCUGCCUGGCUGCCCCGUCUGGGAGUUGAGGGGUGCCUCUGCCCGACCGCCCCACCUGGGAAGUGAGGGGCACCUCUGCCCAGCCACCGCCUUAUCUGGAAGGUGGGGAGCGCCUCUGCCCGACUGCCCCGUCUGGGAAGUGGGCGCCUCUGCCCGGCCGUCCCAUCUGGGGGGUGAGGAGCACCUCUGCCCGGCCACCCCGUCUGGGAGGUGAGGAGUGCCUCUGCCAGGCCGCCCCGUCUGGGAAGUGUACCCAACAGCUCCAAAGAGACAGCGACCAUCGAGAACGGGCCAUGAUGACAGUGGCAGUUUUGUCAAAAAGAAAAGGGGGAAAUGUGGGGAAAAGAAAGAGAGGUCAGAUUGUUACUGUGUCUGUGUAGAAAGAAGUAGACAUAGGAGACUCCGUUUUGUUCUGUACUAAGAAAAAUUCUUCUGUCUUGGGAUGCUGUUAAUCUAUAACCUUACCCCCAACCCCGUGCUCUCUGAAACGUGCUGUGUCAACUCAGGGUUAAAUGGAUUAAGGGCGGUGCCAGAUGUGCUUUGUUAAACAGAUGCUUGGAGGCAGCAUGCUCGUUAAGAGUCAUCACCAUUCCCUAAUCUCAACUACCCAGGGACACAAACACUGCGGAAGGCCGCAGGGACCUCUGCCUAGGAAAACCAGAGACCUUUGUUCACGUGUUUAUCUGCUGACCUUCUCUCCACUAUUAUCCUAUGACCCUGCCACAUCCCCC
ensembl:lncRNA novel transcript